GAAAUCGAGACCAUCCUGGCCAACAUAGUGAAACCCUGUCUCUACUAAAAUACAAAAAAUUAGCCAGGCAUGGUGGCACAUGCCUGUAGCCCCAGCUACUCGGGAGGCUGAGGCAGGAGAAUCGCUUAAAUCCAGGAGGUGGUGCUUAGCACAGGCAGGGGACCCUCUCCCCGCAGUGUGGCCUGUGAUAUUAGAGCCAAGGG
rnacentral:lncRNA from 1 species